rnacentral:rRNA from 1 species
UAGGGAAUCUUCGGCAAUGGACGAAAGUCUGACCGAGCAACGCCGCGUGAGUGAAAAAGGUUUUCGGAUCGUAAAACUCUGUUGUUAGAGAAGAACAAGGACGUUAGUAACUGAACGUCCCCUGACGGUAUCUAACCAGAAAGCCACGGCUAACUACGUGCCAGCAGCCGCGGUAAUACGUAGGUGGCAAGCGUUGUCCGGAUUUAUUGGGCGUAAAGCGAGCGCAGGCGGUUUCUUAAGUCUGAUGUGAAAGCCCCCGGCUCAACCGGGGAGGGUCAUUGGAAACUGGGAGACUUGAGUGCAGAAGAGGAGAGUGGAAUUCCAUGUGUAGCGGUGAAAUGCGUAGAUAUAUGGAGGAACACCAGUGGCGAAGGCGGCUCUCUGGUCUGUAACUGACGCUGAGGCUCGAAAGCGUGGGGAGCAAACAGG